UACGGAAGGGGCAAGCGUUGUUCGGAAUCAUUGGGCGUAAAGGGCGCGCAGGUGGUUCUGUAUGUCUACCGUGAAAGCGUACGGCUCAACCGUAUUUUGUCGGUAGAAACUGCAGGACUUGAGGCUGGGAGGGGCUGGUGGAAUUCCCUGUGUAGCGGUGAAAUGCGUAGAUAUCGGGAGGAACACCAGUGGCGAAGGCGACUUCCUGGCCUGUUCUUGACGCUGAGGCACGAAGGUCAGGGGAGCAAACGGG
rnacentral:rRNA from 1 species